rnacentral:rRNA from 1 species
AGAACGAGCGCUGGCGGCAUGCCUAACACAUGCAAGUCGAACGAGACCUUCGGGUCUAGUGGCGCACGGGUGCGUAACGCGUGGGAAUCUGCCCUUGGGUACGGAAUAACAGUUAGAAAUGACUGCUAAUACCGUAUAAUGACUUCGGUCCAAAGAUUUAUCGCCCAGGGAUGAGCCCGCGUAGGAUUAGCUUGUUGGUGAGGUAAAGGCUCACCAAGGCGACGAUCCUUAGCUGGUCUGAGAGGAUGAUCAGCCACACUGGGACUGAGACACGGCCCAGACUCCUACGGGAGGCAGCAGUGGGGAAUAUUGGACAAUGGGCGAAAGCCUGAUCCAGCAAUGCCGCGUGAGUGAUGAAGGCCUUAGGGUUGUAAAGCUCUUUACCCGGGAUGAUAAUGACAGUACCGGAGAAUAAGCUCCGGCUAACUCCGCGCCAGCAGCCG